AAAGGAACUCUGCAAAAUGACACCGUAACUUCGGGAGAAGGUGUGCCGGUGGUCGUGAAGGUCCUAGCGGCUGGAGCGUCUGCUGGUUGCAGAGAAACGGGGGUUGUGACUGUUUACUAAAAACACAGGACUCUGCGAAGUCGGAAGACGACGUAUAGGGUCUGAUGCCUGCCCGGUGCUGGAAGGUUAAGGGGACGAGUCAGCGCAAGCGAAGCUCCGAACCGAAGCCCCAGUAAACGGCGGCCGUAACGAUAACGGUCCUAAGGUAGUGAAAUUCCUUGUCGGGUAAGUUCCGACCUGCACGAAGGGCAUAACAACAUCCCCGCUGUCUCGAUCAGGGACUCAGCGAAUUUGUAUCGGGGGUGAAGAUACCCUCUACCCGCGGCAAGACGGAAAGACCCCAUGAACCUUUACUGCAACUUGGCAGUGAUUUUCGGGAUGUUCUGCGUAGGAUAGGGAGGCUAUGAAGCUGGGCUUCUGGGUUCAGCUGAGCCAACGUUGAAAUACCACCCUGGAUAUUCUGGAAAUCUAACCCAGGCCCCUGACCGGGGUCGGGGACACUGCCUGGUGGGCAGUUUGACUGGGGCGGUCGCCUCCUAAAACGUAACGGAGGCGUGCGAAGGUUCCCUCAGCCUGAUUGGAAACCAGGCGUAGAGUGCAAACGCACAAGGGAGCUUAACUGUGAGACCGACAGGUCGAACAGGUGCGAAAGCAGGCGUUAGUGAUCCGGUGGUUCUGUAUGGAAGGGCCAUCGCUUAUCGGAUAAAAGGUACUCUGGGGAUAACAGGCUGAUCGCGCCUGAGAGUUCAUAUCGGCGGCGCGGUUUGGCACCUCGAUGUCGGCCCAUCGCAUCCUGGGGCUGGAGCAGGUCCCAAGGGUUCGGCUGUUCGCCGAUUAAAGCGGUACGCGAGCUGGGUUUAAAACGUCGUGAGACAGUUUGGUCCCUAUCUGCCGUGGGCGUAGGACACUUGAGAGGAGCUGCCCAUAGUACGAGAGGACCUAGGUGGACGUACCUCUGGUGUUCCGGUUGUCCUGCCAAGGGCAUAGCCGGGUAGCCAUGUACGGAACGGAUAACCGCUGAAAGCAUCUAAGCGGGAAGCCGGCCUCAAGACUAGGUGUCCCGGGCCGCAAGGCCCCUAAAGACCCCUUGUAGACGACGAGGUUGAUAGGCCGGGUGUGGAAGCCGAGCAAUCGGCGGAGCUAACCGGUACUAAUCGGUCGUGCGGCUUGAUCAA
rnacentral:rRNA from 1 species